AGAAAGAAAGAAAGAAAGGAGAGAACUUUUUUAUUAUUGUUUUUUCUUCCCUUUCUCUCUUUCACCUGCUGCUUCACGAGACAGGUUUCUCUCUUCUCCUCUUGUUUGUAUUUUUAUCAUCAAUUUUCUUUCUCAGUCUAAAAUCUAAAAUCUAAAAUCCCUAAUAAAAAUCCAAUAUCUCUCUCUCUCUCCUCUCCUUUCUUCUCUCUUCUUUGGGUACUCUCCAACCUUCCUCCAUAAAUCGCUUUAUUUGUUGUUUUUUUCUUGCAGAAAUUAGUGCCAUGGAGGCCUACUCUCCCUUUAGAGGCUGUGAGCGACACACACACUCCCCACUCUCUUCAAUGGUGACACCUAACCAUUGGCAUUUGGGCUCUCUCUCUCUCUCUCUGUUUUUCAUGGCCUUCCUUCCCUCUCCUUUUGUCAACAAAUUGAUUUUGACUUCACAUUGGUUUAAGCCUCAUUAUGACCUAUUUUUAAUCAUGUAGAUUUUGCUUAAGGCAUGAAAGGUGACAACAUGGGAAAAUAAAGUGCCAGCUUAUAUAUAUGAAUUCAUCUUUUCUUAAAUAAUUCUUGUAUAUUAAACAAAAACUCGCGGUGGGAAUGCU
rnacentral:lncRNA from 1 species